rnacentral:rRNA from 1 species
UACGUAGGGGGCAAGCGGUUGUCCGGAUUUACUGGGCGUAAAGCGCGUGUAGGCGGUUGGGUUAGUCUGCUGUGAAAGCUCGUGGCUUAACUGCGAGAGGUCGGUGGAUACUGCCUAACUUGAGGACGGUAGAGGGGGGUGGAAUUCCCGGUGUAGUGGUGAAAUGCGUAGAGGAUCGGGAGGAACACCAGCGGCGAAGGCGGCCCCCUGGGCCGCUCCUGACGCUGAGACGCGAAGGCCAGGGUAGCGAACGGG